CCGCGAACGUUCCAGCUGCGGGUCCGGUCGAAUCCCCAGAUGGGGGCAGGCCUUCGGGGCGCCUGGGAAUCUAUCCUGGUCCCCAUUUCCGAUGAGGGUUGAGACUUUCUGUUCUAAGGCUAGGGAUCCAUGGAGGAAACCGGUGUGAUGCAGAUGGGGGUCUGAUCACGACUACGGGGCAUAGAAACUAGGAGAUCCGAACUCAGGGGAAUUGGGCAUCUCGUCACUGAUCAUCUGGGGCAAACCCACCUUUGACACCUGUAGCUCCCUCCUGCUGUGGCGAAUAGCACCCUUGUUGACCAAUCCUAGGGAAAAGGUGCGGACGCCGAGACAAGACUUUAUUUACAUCUUCCCAUGCACGUUUCCCAAGAGGAAGUAGGACCUCUGCGUGGGUUGGCAUUGGUGGCCUUCCCCGCACGUCCCCCACCUCCGGCCCCCAAUCUAGCUACUAGUGGGUAAGCACGGGAUGGCUGGAAAUGGUGGAUGAGAUCUCCCCAUGAGCUCCUACCCGCGCCCAGCAACUCCAGGCGACAAAGUUCAUCACCAACCCAGAAGCCGACGGCAACAACAGGCGAAGGAAGCUAGUGCUUUUCUCCCGCGACCGCCCCUGAACUCCUCCGCUUCCCAGGCCGAGCUGGGAGGCUUCAGCCAGCCGGGGUCCUCUACUCCACACCCCAUCUUUGCUCUCACCUGGUGCUGGCUGCCGCGAAACCCCGCCCUGCAGCCACAGAGGGCGCAAAGCGAAGUGGAAGGAAGACAAGAAGGGACGCAGGCCUGAUUAGGGGUGAAAGCUGGACCUCCUCCUCCUCACCAGCAAGCGCUCUUCCUCUAAGGCCGAAGCCCCGCCCUUUCUGCCCCGCCCCUCGCAGAGGCUCCGCCCCUCGACUCUUCCUUGCUGAGCUCUGACGCUGACCAUCUGUCCAGGCUUGGGUCCCCGCCCUGCCUACCCAGCCCGACUGGGAAGGAUCCGGUAUCUAGAUGGCUAGCCGCGCGGCUGCCACCUUUGCUAGGCCACCCUGCUUCUUCUUCCUACACACUCUAGGAACAACCCCCACAAACUUCUGGAUUCUAGAGGAUGACUAACGAGUAAAUGAGCGCUUGGAGACAGUCUCUUCCUACAGCAGUGGCUUGGAGUGAAAGUUCUGGGGCCACAUCUUAGGAGAACUGGCAACCAAAGAAGGGGUUUUAGAGACAGAACUAGUUCUGGAUUUGCCCCCAGAGUUCAAGUCAUACCAGUCAAUCAGUUAGGUACCUCCUGUACUGGAAGGUCCUAGUCAUUACGCAAAUGCAAGUGUUAGCAGUUAGAGAAUCUUAGAGAUGGAUUAUCUCCGUUUUACAGUUUUGAAGACAAAAACGAAGGAAGAGCUAGAAGGAUUAAGUUCACAAAUAAACUCAAAUCCUCGUCUCAAGGACCCGUGAUAGAGACACCCAUGUUUGCUGGUUCCAAGUCUGAGGUGCCUCGUUCGUUACUCAAUGUCAAUACUGGCAUUUAAGAUGGGAUGAAUCUGUUUCUGAGAUGUCCUGUGAGCACUGUGGGCUGCUUGGUAACAUUCCUGGGCUCCACCCACGAAAUAAAAACAAACACAUUAACAGCC
rnacentral:lncRNA from 1 species